rnacentral:rRNA from 1 species
GACGAACGCUGGCGGCGUGCCUAAUACAUGCAAGUAGAACGCUGAAGGAGGAGCUUGCUUCUCUGGAUGAGUUGCGAACGGGUGAGUAACGCGUAGGUAACCUGCCUGGUAGCGGGGGAUAACUAUUGGAAACGAUAGCUAAUACCGCGUAAGAGUAGAUGUUGCAUGACAUUUGCUUAAAAGGUGCAAUUGCAUCACUACCAGAUGGACCUGCGUUGUAUUAGCUAGUUGGUGAGGUAACGGCUCACCAAGGCGACGAUACAUAGCCGACCUGAGAGGGUGAUCGGCCACACUGGGACUGAGACACGGCCCAGACUCCUACGGGAGGCAGCAGUAGGGAAUCUUCGGCAAUGGACGGAAGUCUGACCGAGCAACGCCGCGUGAGUGAAGAAGGUUUUCGGAUCGUAAAGCUCUGUUGUAAGAGAAGAACGAGUGUGAGAGUGGAAAGUUCACACUGUGACGGUAUCUUACCAGAAAGGGACGGCUAACUACGUG